CCUACGGGGGGCAGCAGUGAGGAAUAUUGGUCAAUGGGAGAGAUCCUGAACCAGCCAAGCCGCGUGAGGGAAGACGGCCCUAUGGGUUGUAAAGAUCUGUCAGUGGGGACGAAACUUGACGGUACCCACAGAGGAAGCACCGGCUAACUCCGUGCCAGCAGCCGCGGUCAUAGGGGGGGGGCCAGCGUUGUCCGGAAUCAUUGGGCGUAAAGAGUUUGUAGGCGGCACGUAAAGUCUGGUGUUAAAUGCAGAGGCUCAACUUCUGUACGGGACUGGAUACUUGCGAGCUAGGAUGCGGUUGAGGUAAAGGGAAUUCGUGGUGUAGCGGGGAAAUGCUUAGAUAUCAGGAGGAACAUCGGUGGCGUAAGCGCUUUACUGGGCCGUAAUUGACGCUGAGGAACGAAAGCCAGGGUAGCGAAUGGGAUUAGAUACCCGAGUAGUC
rnacentral:rRNA from 1 species